rnacentral:lncRNA from 13 species
AAUGAUAGAUACGAGGACGGUAUAACGCACGGACCCCUUGCAUCUACAUGGUAGCCUCAGUUCCAUUUCGCGAUGGAGGCUACUUGCUCCUUCUGGCACUAGGUAGUUGUGCGUUUCUUAUCAGGGAGUGAGACGUACAGAGCGUGAGCGAAACAAAGAAAGACAGGGUGAGAAAAAAGAGGAACUCGAGGGAGAAGGGUAAGCGACAUAUAGAAAGGAGCGAUAAUAAGAAAGAGAAAAAAAGAGAAAGAGGGAAGUCGAGCGAGAGUCGAAGAAGACACUGCUAGAAAGUAAACUGAGAACGCAAAAAGGGGGGGGGGGAUAACGAGAGAAGAAGAUAGAAAAACAAAUGAUAGAGAUAAAAGGGGUGCGAGCCCAACGAACGACGUUCUAAAACAUUUCCUCGAAAAGGCAUCAGGAAAUCUGCAAUCCGUCCCAGAUUUUAGGGAUAUCGUCUUCUCGCGCCUCUUCUCCCGCUGGGCGUCCCGCAUCGGUGGUGCGCGCGGGGGAUGACGACUCGCGCGGUGGCCGAUCCAAGACGAGCGUCGUGAAGCCGCGUUAUUUCGUAACGCAAAUCGCGCUUAAUACACAUCGUCAUGGCAGAACGGAGGUGACCGGAUGCUGGGCGGUGCAGUGAUUCGAUUGAUUCGCUGAAGAGUGUUCGUGGCUUCCACCGAACUUCCGAGUGCCGCGUUAAGUGAGCGUACGUGUGCGUGCGUGGGUGCGUGCAUACGUUUGUGUCUCUCGCUGCGUGAACAUACGUACAUACGUACUUGCGUGCUUGCGAGCGAGCGCUGAUCGGGGGCUUAUACAGUGACGCCUUGGGCGCUCUUGUGUGUACGUGCGGGUUCGCCAAGGAAGGCAAAAGCGAUCCACGAGUCCCUCAGCUGGUCACCGAGGUGGUCCACCCAAGUGAGAGUGCAUCGUCAUCGUCCUCGUCAUCAGCCCCCAUCUACGCGCUGUCGCAUUUCAAUCAGCGCAGCGCAGAGGAAGCGGCGGCCGGACGCGCGCGUUUCAUCGAGCUUUCUUUGAUCCUUCGGUAGGAAGCGGUAGGAAGCCGCUGAGCGUGAGAUCGACAUCGAAAGAGGGAGAGAGGGAGAGAGAGAGAGAGAAGAACGGAGAAGCAGCGAAGCGGACGAGACUGCAGCGACGGCGGCGAUUCUCGAUCGGUCGAGAGAGGAGGUGGAGAGACUCCGACGAAGAUGAUGUUCGGGAGGAUUAGAAGAGAGAAGGUCUUCUCCGGCAAUGGCUGAUCGUCGUGGCCGCGAUGUCCGCGGCGUAUGAGCCGCUCUAUCGCGAGGACGACGAACGUCAACGCUGCCCGCAACAGCCGGAUCCACGCGGGAUCUACGCGCUCGUGAUCGCGAUCGUGACGUAGUGGGCGGACGCGGUGCGUGAACGAGGAUGAAGGGACGGUCCCUCGAGCCGCGAAACGAGGAGCCGCUGCGUUGUCGCGAGUGAGCCGCGAGCGGUGUCGAGGAGUGUUCAAUUGCGGCGAGCUACGUCAAGUGCAGGAGAACGCGUGUUCGUUAAUAAACGCAUGCAUGCUAACAAAAA